rnacentral:rRNA from 1 species
AGUGAACGCUGGCGGUAGGCCUAACACAUGCAAGUCGAACGGCGGCACAGUAAGAGCUUGCUCUUACGGGUGGCGAGUGGCGGACGGGUGGGGAAUACAUCGGAAUCUACUUUUUCGUGGGGGAUAACGUAGGGAAACUUACGCUAAUACCGCAUACGACCUACGGGUGAAAGCAGGGGAUCUUCGGACCUUGCGCGAUUGAAUGAGCCGAUGUCGGAUUAGCUAGUUGGCGGGGUAAAGGCCCACCAAGGCGACGAUCCGUAGCUGGUCUGAGAGGAUGAUCAGCCACACUGGAACUGAGACACGGUCCAGACUCCUACGGGAGGCAGCAGCGGGGAAUAUUGGACAAUGGGCGCAAGCCUGAUCCAGCCAUACCGCGUGGGUGAAGAAGGCCUUCGGGUUGUAAAGCCCUUUUGUUGGGAAAGAAAAGCAGCAGGUUAAUACCCCGCUGUUCUGACGGUACCCAAAGAAUAAGCACCGGCUAACUUCGUG